CCUACGGGGGGCAGCAGUGAGGAAUAUUGGUCAAUGGACGCGAGUCUGAACCAGCCAAGCCGCGUGCGGGAGGACGGCACUGUGUGUUGUAAACUUCUUUUGUAAGGGAAUAAACCCAGGGACGUGUCCCUGGUUGAAUGUACCUGAUGAAUAAGCAUCGGCUAACUCCGUGCCAGCAGCCGCGGUAAUACGGAGGAUGCGAGCGUUAUCCGGAUUUAUUGGGUUUAAAGGGUGCGUAGGCGGUCUGUUAAGUCAGGUGUGAAAGCCCGAGGCUCAACCCUGGAACUGCCUUUGAUACUGGCAGGCUCGAGAGCAGUUGAGGUAGGCGGAAUGCGUGGUGUAGCGGUGAAAUGCUUAGAGAUCACACAGAACCCCGAUUGCGAAGGCAGCUUACCAA
rnacentral:rRNA from 1 species